UACGGAGGAUGCAAGCGUUAUCCGGAAUUAUUGGGCGUAAAGAGUCCGUAGGUGGCCAUGCAAGUCUGUUGUCAAAGACCACAGCUUAACUGUGGAAAGGCAGUGGAAACUGAAGAGCUAGAGAAUGGUAGGGGCAGAGGGAAUUCCCGGUGUAGCGGUGAAAUGCGUAGAGAUCGGGAAGAACACCAGUGGCGAAAGCGGUCUGCUGGACCGUGACUGACACUGAGGGACGAAAGCUAGGGGAGCGAAUGGG
rnacentral:rRNA from 1 species